rnacentral:rRNA from 1 species
GUGGGGAAUAUUGGACAAUGGGCGAAAGCCUGAUCCAGCAAUGCCGCGUGGGUGAAGAAGGUCUUCGGAUUGUAAAUCCCUUUCGGCGGGGACGAUGAUGACGGUACCCGCAGAAGAAGCUCCGGCUAACUUCGUGCCAGCAGCCGCGGUAAUACGAAGGGGGCUAGCGUUGCUCGGAAUGACUGGGCGUAAAGGGCGCGUAGGCGGUUCGUACAGUUGGGUGUGAAAUUCCUGGGCUUAACCUGGGGGCUGCACCCAAUACGUGCGGGCUUGAGUGUGGAAGAGGGUCGUGGAAUUCCCAGUGUAGAGGUGAAAUUCGUAGAUAUUGGGAAGAACACCGGUGGCGAAGGCGGCGACCUGGUCCAUUACUGACGCUGAGGCGCGAAAGCGUGGGGAGCAAACAGGAUUAGAUACCCUGGUAGUCC